AAAAAUAGAUUGUUUUGUGAAAAAAGAAGCAGAUGGGAUUCUAAUCCCAUAAGCCCAAUGAACUUCAAUUUGAAGAGGCCCAACAACUCCAUUAAAAAAAUAAAAAAUAAAAAAUAAAAAAGAAAUGCAAGCGGCUGCCGCUUUGUUGCCCUUGUAUAUCAAAUCAGAAGCAAGUUGGAGUCGCACCCAAUUCAACUCAACUGCCCGGAAAACGCACCCGGAGUUGCUCGUCGUUGUAAGCAAUCCCGCGGGAAACACCGGCAAACUCCAGAAUUGAAGUAGAAUGGGAGUUGGACGUGAAGUGUCAAUCUCACUGGAUGAUGUGAGAGAUAAGAACAUUAUGCAGCUCAAGAAGCUUAAUAUUGCGCUUUUCCCUGUUCGCUACAACGACAAAUACUACGCUGAUGCACUUGCUUCUGCCGAAUUCACCAAACUAGCUUACUACAGUGACAUUUGUGUUGGUGCAAUUGCAUGCCGGCUUGAGAAGAAAGAAGGCGGGGGACAAGUUCGGGUUUACAUCAUGACUUUAGGAGUCCUAGCGCCUUACCGUGGACUUGGUAUUGGAACAAAGCUGCUGAAUCAUGUUCUUGAUCUCUGCUCCAAGCAAAACAUUUCUGAAGUUUACUUGCAUGUGCAGACAAACAAUGAAGACGCCAUUAACUUUUAUAAGAAGUUUGAGUUUGAAAUUACGGAAACAAUCCAGAACUAUUACACAAACAUCACACCACCAGACUGCUAUGUUCUCACGAGGCACAUAGCUCCAAGUCCAACAAAGAAAUAACAUUGGAGUGCCAGUUAUUUUGGGAUUUAAACAGUAAAGUAAGCACAAAAAAAGAAGCAAUUGGGGAUCCCUUAGCUAAGGUUGUCUUUUUUCUAAAUUCGGUUGAAGGCUUGGAUUGGAUGUCCAUAUCAGUUUUUGUUUCACUUUGCAAUUAGGAAUGACAAAGUACUUACAUCCGUUCUCACUUUCAAGUCUCGACUCCCUUGCUCGUUCCAUAACACUACUGCAAUCUAUUGGUGGAAAGCUCUAUUUUGUGACUUGCGUAAAAGUUUGUGGCCACGAUCGAUCUGUUUGAGCGGUUUAUAGAGAGCAAUGCGAUCAAAAUAUUUAAGUAAUUUACUAAUUUGACACUUAAUGUGCGAAGUAAUAAUUACAUGGUUAGAUUGUUGACAAGAUAAUGACUCGAUUCAGCAGCUGAAUUGAUGAAAUUGGUGUUUCAAAAACAAACAAAAAGUUGAGGUAUCAUGACACUAAGUUUGAUAUGUGGCAUCAAUGAAUUUUGAUACAUAUACUUGUCUUAUAAGAGACUACUUUUAUGAGUUUUUCAAGUGUCCUCUAAACCAUUUAGGCCAGAAAAUAUGUGUGAUUAUUGCAGGUUAUAGUGGGUCUGAAUGCCUGCAAUAACAAUUUAUUUUAUUGAUUAAGAAAUGGGUUUUUUACAAAAAUUAGAUACAUUUUUGUAAAAGUGCGUUAAGCAAUAGAUCAUUUUCAUUUUAUCGAAGUUCUAAAUUAUAGCUUCAUAUUUUGUUUUUUUAAUUGUUAAUUCAA